GGAGGGGGCCAGCGUUGUUCGGAAUCAUUGGGCGUAAAGGGCGCGUAGGCGGCUUUGUAAGUCCGUUGUGAAAUCCCUCGGCUCAACCGAGGAACUGCGACGGAUACUGCUUGGCUUGAGUCCCGGAGAGGGUAGCGGAAUUCCCAGUGUAGCGGUGAAAUGCGUAGAUAUUGGGAGGAACAUCGGUGGCGAAGGCGGCUACCUGGACGGGUACUGACGCUGAUGCGCGAAAGCUAGGGGAGCAAACAGGAUUAGAUACCCUGGUAGUCCUAGCUGUAAACGAUGGGCACUUGGUGUUGCGGGUAUCGACCCCUGCAGUGCCGAAGCUAACGCAUUAAGUGCCCCGCCUGGGGAGUACGGUCGCAAGGCUG
rnacentral:rRNA from 1 species